CUCCCCAAUCAAACCGUUUUCCGCAUGACGGGUUCAUUCCGCUUCGAAUUCCGCUUCGAAAAUUGUUUCGAAAUUUUCUAAACGGAAUCUCCGGUUGGACUCAGUUUCGAUUCCGUUUGAGCCAUUUGGUACAUUAGCGACACCUGCUGGUGUACGGCCGAACUUCGGUGACAUUUCGCCGCGUUUCGCCGAAGCGGUUUUUCUUUUAAUGUGUGAGUGUGACAAAUGUCAAACAUGUCAAAGUGUGUGCUAGAAAAUUUGAAGAAGAUGCUGCCUUUUCCUUGACCGGCGUGAACUUCAUCUUGGACAGUUUGUCCUCGUCAUCGGCGGUAGCCUUUUCGUCCGCUUACUGCCUUCGGUGGGUUUGGCCACGUUGGAGAAGCUGAAGCCCGUUCCGAUCGUGGAACGUGUCGAGCCAAACCCCGAAGCUGAAUGGUUUGGCUGCCGCCGGAGUCGGUGCCGCGGCCGUGUUUGCCCCCGAGGAAAUCCUCUUCCAGAAGCACGCCAAAUUCACGAGAGCGUCCUUCGCCGUGAGUCGGCUUUCUUUUGCAGAACCAAGCCAACGACGUCACCCCGGAAUUCGGACUCGCCGACUCGACGUAAGCGCGCUUUGUGCAGCAGCUGUGUCGGGACUUUCCGCGGGAGCGUGUACCGGUGUACCGGUUUCGGUCGAAGCGGUCAAAGCCAACUCCCAGUCACUGCUGCGGUCGUCCGUAAUAGACACUGCCUGGGGCAGUCUGGUGGUGGAGAUCGGCUACACGUUUACGGCCUCGCUCGAGGACUGCAGGAACCACAUGCUGAAGGUUGGCGGCCGGAAGAUAUCAGCGCAGGAUGUUGCUAAGAUUAUUUCGUCGCUGUCGGAGAGUCCUCCGGGUAGAGCAGUGGCGCUAGCACCACCGGUACACAAAGGUCAAGGUUCACGGUCCCGGAAUCCAACGAUGAAGAAGUUCCGAUCGAUACAGGGGAAACGGAGUGUACUUAAUCGCAA